rnacentral:rRNA from 1 species
UACGUAGGUGGCGAGCGUUGUCCGGAAUUACUGGGUGUAAAGCGCGUGUAGGCGGCAGGCCAAGUCGGUGGUGAAAGCGCCCGGACUCAACGUGGGCGAGGUACCCAUGGAAACUGGUCAGCUGGAGGACGGGUAGAGGCGAGUGGAAGUUCCCGGUGGUAGUGGGUGAAAUGCGUAGAGAAUCGGGGAGGAACACCUGUGGCGAAAGGCGGCAUCGCCUGGG